rnacentral:rRNA from 1 species
GACGGAGGGGGCAAGCGUUGUUCGGAAUUCUUGGGCGUAAAGGGCUCGUAGGCGGAUCCGCCAGUCUGACGUGAAAUCUCCACCGCUCACCGGGGAGGGGCCGUUGGAUACUACGGAUCUGGAGUUCGGCAGAGGACCAUGGAAUUUCGGGUGUAGCGGUGGAAUGCGUAGAUAUCCGAAAGAACACCGGUGGCGAAGGCGGUGGUCUGGGCCUGAACUGACGCUGAGGCGCGAAAGCCAGGGGAGCAAACGGG